UGCGUAGGCGGCUUUGUAAGUCAGGAGUGAAAGUUUGCGGCUCAACCGUAAAAUUGCUUUUGAUACUGCAUCGCUAGAAUUAGGAUGAGGUCAGCGGAAUGUGGCAUGUAGCGGUGAAAUGCAUAGAUAUGCCAUAGAACACCAAUUGCGAAGGCAGCUGGCUAGACCUAUAUUGACGCUGAGGCACGAAAGCGUGGGGAGCGAACAGGAUUAGAUACCCUGGUAGUCC
rnacentral:rRNA from 1 species